AUAGGUUGGCACUUACCUUUAGCAUUCUUCUAAAGCUCAGUCCUUUUUCAUUGAGAGUCUCU
rnacentral:sRNA from 1 species